UCUAGACUCGUUGUUCUUCCUCCACACGCUGUCAAAGUUGAUUACCUGUAUCAGUAUACUGCAGUGUUGAGUGGAGACGAGUGUGAAGACUCGACAGCGCACUUGUGAACAUCACACAGCGUUCUGACUCUACUUUGCAACAUUCCAAGCAGAGAACUGCGGAUGAGCAGUGACGGCGAAAAGUCACCAAGUCGUCGCCAGUUUCAAUCUCGCAUCAAGACUCAACACACGCUGGUGUGAGUUAGCACACCCUUCACUUCAGCUGAUCACCGCAGCUUAGCGAAAGCUGACGCCGCAGUUCUGUUGGGCCGACAGCAGGGUGGCCGACAAAAGCUACUGGACACUGGCGUACGCAUGCACAGUAUCUUCACUGUUGCCGAGGUGAUGGCUGUACUGCAGAUCAAUGGACGUAUUUCUGACACCCAAGUAGACUCUGUCAAGCAAUUUGUCAAGUACAAUCAAUUUUAGUCGUACGUUCCUGUUCUGUUUUGCUGAUACCCGUACGCUCUGCUGCUGGUGCUGGUUAUCUACAGGUUUCGUGAGUGAUGUCAUCACAUGUGCUUUUGUAUGGAGUGCAUGACGUCAUCCCAUGUGCUUUGUAUGGAGGACAUGCUGUGGAAACCAGUGCUGGUUUUGAAUUGAGUAGUAAACAGUUUAUAUUGAGAUUUGAACAGCAAACAGUUUGUAUUAAGUGGCAAACGGAACAAACAGUGUUACGAAAGUAGCAGCCAUGUCACUGUGGCAAAGCAGCAACAUCGCACUGCUCCUGUACGGCAUUGCCACUCCAUACAGGGAAAGCAUCCCAAAUGAUGACGUAAUUGCAUACCCAAUGAUGACGUAAUUGCAUACCUAAUGAUGAUGUCAUCGCGUAACGUCUAUCAGUAAGCUAGUAUAUUAUGAUUUCGGCGUGCUCUCUGUACUAACAAGCAGUGGCUUGUUUUAAAACUACUGCUACCAUGAUUUGCCGCAUUCGAGGGUAUUAACGGUAUUGCCACUGCUGCAUUCGAGGGUAUUAACGGUA